UCGAGCGAUUUCUUCGGUAAAGAGCGGCGGACGGGUGAGUAACGCGUGGGUAACCUGCCCUGUACACACGGAUAACGUAGCGAAAGGUAUGCUAAUACGAGAUAAAAUACUUUUAUCGCAUGGUAGAAGUAUCAAAGUUUUUGCGGUACAGGAUGGACCCGCGUCUGAUUAGCUAGUUGGUAAGGUAACGGCUUACCAAGGCGACGAUCAGUAGCCGACCUGAGAGGGUGAUCGGCCACAUUGGAACUGAGACACGGUCCAAACUCCUACGGGAGGCAGCAGUGGGGAAUAUUGCACAAUGGGCGAAAGCCUGAUGCAGCAACGCCGCGUGAGCGGUGAAGGCCUUCGGGUCGUAAAGCUCUGUCCUCAAGGAAGAUAAUGACGGUACUUGAGGAGGAAGCCCCGGCUAACUACGUGCCAGCAGCCGCGGUAAUACGUAGGGGGCUAGCGUUAUCCGGAAUUACUGGGCGUAAAGGGUGCGUAGGUGGUUUCUUAAGUCAGAGGUGAAAGGCUACGGCUCAACCGUAGUAAGCCUUUGAAACUGGGGAACUUGAGUGCAGGAGAGGAGAGUGGAAUUCCUAGUGUAGCGGUGAAAUGCGUAGAUAUUAGGAGGAACACCAGUUGCGAAGGCGGCUCUCUGGACUGUAACUGACACUGAGGCACGAAAGCGUGGGGAGCAAACAGGAUUAGAUACCCUGGUAGUCCACGCCGUAAACGAUGAGUACUAGCUGUCGGAGGCUACCCCCUUCGGUGGCGCAGCUAACGCAUUAAGUACUCCGCCUGG
rnacentral:rRNA from 1 species